rnacentral:lncRNA from 1 species
UGCCGUCGAGGACAGGGGCCGAGAGAGAGAGCCGGACUGCCUGAGCACUGAGAGAGGAGGAGAGCGAGGGGGGUUAAUACACAGUGAGGUCACUCCAUCACUCUAACAGCGCCGGCUGCUACAAUGUCUUUCCUUCUUCCAUUUUACAUUCAUCCGAUCACCUGGACUCGUUUCAUGACCGUGCGAUACACCUCUCCCAGAUUCGAUGAACACGAACAUUAUUCAUUUCUCAAAGCAAUGGCCUGGCACCACACUAAUCGGCCGUAUUCAGAAAUAACAUUACAAAACUAAGGAACAGACUAUCUGGUGGGUCCUACAGAAGGCAAGAAAGCGUCUCACUGUCACUCACCGGCGCUGAACAGCGUCCUCGUAGACGCCGCCAUCUUGGCCCUGGUCCGCGGAGACGGCUACGGAAGCGCCGAGAGGACAAUCCGCGCGAAACUGGAUGGGCUUCGAGUUUUCCCUUUAGCCUACAAGAGCGUAUCGCAGCGGAGUGUCGGCGGCGCACAGACCGGGGUUCGGCCCGCAGCUCCCCGCAGACCGACUGUACCGGCGAACUCAGCCCGCAGCUCCGCGCUCAGCCGGUCCCGCACCGGCCAGGAGCCCGAAGUAAUACCAGCUGCGCCCUCUGGUGGACACGGACUGACAGGGGCGAGGCUACCGAACAGCGCUUCACUGUGCGAGUCGGAAUAUCGUGACAGCUUUAGGUGACUAGGAAGUGUCUCUACGAGUUUCGAUAAAGCGUGUAACACCAGCCGUGGCCGUCCUUCAGAUGAGACGUGAAACGGAGGUCCUGCCUCUCUGUGGUCAGUCAAGACCCCAGGGUGUCUCUCAGAAAGAGGAGGGGUGUGACCCCAGUGUCCUGGACAGACUCCCCCUGGUCUUUACCAGUCAUGGCCUCCUGAUCACCCCCCUCUCUGAACUGGCCUCAUCACUCUGCUCUCCUCCCCACUGAGAGCUGGAGUGUGUGAGCGGACUGGAGCAUCAUCACACUGGGGGGAUGGAGGGGGUCCCCAGUACUGGACAGUGCCGGGAGAGGGGUGGAGAGUCCAGAAAGGCGCUAUAGAAGUGCAGAUAGAUGAUGAUGAUAAUGAUGUCACAGAGAAGCCCUCAGUAAUAAACACACACAACAGGACAGGAGACACAGUGUGAGAGAGAGGAGUUCACAGGGAAGCCCUCAGUAAUACACACACACAACGGGACAGGAGACACAGUGAGAGAGAAGAGAUCACAGAGAAUCCCUCAGUAAUAAACACACACAACAGGACAGGAGACACAGUGAGAGAG